rnacentral:rRNA from 1 species
UGUGAUGAAAGUACCGCGAACUGACGGAAUAGUUCGUUGAAGCACCUACCUAUAGGCCUUGUAGUCAAAUGCGCAAGGACUGGGGAAAUGCGAUAGUACCCGGAGUCUUCGGACAAAGGGAUAGUGUACCUAAGGGCUUCCAAGAAAAACCUCUAAACUUCAGGUUAUUAGUACCCGUACCGUAAACCGACACAGGUAGUCGAGGAGAGAAUCCUAAGGUGCUCGAGAGAUUCAUGGCUAAGGAAUUAGGCAAAAUAGACCUGUAACUUCGGGAGAAAGGUCGCCAGCAGCAAUGCUGGCCGCAGUGAAGAGGUCCAGGCGACUGUUUAUCAAAAACACAGGGCUCUGCAAAAUCGUAAGAUGAAGUAUAGGGCCUGACACCUGCCCGGUGCUGGAAGGUUAAGAGGAGAUGUUAUCUUCGGAGAAGCAUUGAAUUGAAGCCCCAGUAAACGGCGGCCGUAACAAUAACGGUCCUAAGGUAGCGAAAUUCCUUGUCGGGUAAGUUCCGACCUGCACGAAUGGUGUAACGAUCUGGACACUGUCUCAGCCAUGAGCUCGGUGAAAUUGUAGUAGCGGUGAAGAUGCCGCUUACCCGCAGUGGGACGAAAAGACCCUGUGCACCUUUACUAUAGCUUAGUAUUGACUUUGGAUAAGUGAUGUGUAGGAUAGGUGGGAGACUUCGAUCCAGCGUCGCCAGGCGUUGGUUAGUCAUUGUUGAAAUACCACCCUUUGCUUAUCUGAAGCCUAACCCCGCGCAUGCGGGGGACAUUGCUUGGUGGGUAGUUUGACUGGGGUGGUCGCCUCCAAAAGAGUAACGGAGGCUUCUAAAGGUUCCCUCAGUACGCUUGGUAACCGUGCGUAGAGUGCAAUGGCAUAAGGGAGCUUGACUGAGAGACAUACAGGUCGAUCAGGUACGAAAGUAGAGCAUAGUGAUCCGGUGGUUCCGCAUGGAAGGGCCAUCGCUCAAAGGAUAAAAGGUACGCCGGGGAUAACAGGCUGAUCUCCCCCAAGAGCUCAUAUCGACGGGGGGGUUUGGCACCUCGAUGUCGGCUCGUCACAUCCUGGGGCUGGAGAAGGUCCCAAGGGUUGGGCUGUUCGCCCAUUAAAGUGGCACGCGAGCUGGGUUCAGAACGUCGUGAGACAGUUCGGUCUCUAUCUACUGUGGGCGCAAGAAAUUUGAGUGGAUCUGAUUCUAGUACGAGAGGACCGAAUUGGACUGACCUCUAGUGUAUCUGUUGUUCCGCCAGGAGCACCGCAGAGUAGCUACGUCGGGAAGGGAUAAGCGCUGAAAGCAUAUAAGCGCGAAACCCACCACAAGAUGAGAUUUCUUUUAAGGGUCGUGGAAGAUGACCACGUCGAUAGGCUAUAGGUGUAAAGGCAGUAAUGUCAUAGCCGAGUAGUACUAAUAACCC